rnacentral:hammerhead_ribozyme from 1 species
GUACUGCUGAUGAGUCUCAAAAUAAGACGAGACAUCUGUCUAGUAC